rnacentral:rRNA from 1 species
UACGGAGGGUGCAAGCGUUAUCCGGAUUCACUGGGUUUAAAGGGUGCGUAGGAGGGCAGGUAAGUCAGUGGUGAAAUCUCCAAGCCUAACUUGGAAACUGCCGUUGAUACUAUCUGUCUUGAAUACCGUGGAGAUGAGCGGAAUAUGUCAUGUAGCGGUGAAAUGCUUAGAUAUGACAUAGAACACCAAUUGCGAAGGCAGCUCGUUACACGAAUAUUGACUCUGAGGCACGAAAGCGUGGGGAUCAAACAGG